ensembl:lncRNA
AAUUGUCAACUAUGUACAACAAACAAUUUUUUUAAAGGAUGGCAUCAUUCAUAUCUUGGCAUGUCAUGACCUAUUUGUGCUUAGCCAGGGGCAGUGGUUCUCAAACCUCUCAUACCAAGUCCCACCAUUAUGACCGAUGUUAUAAAGUCACAAAAUACAGGAGCGUUGGCCUGCGUCCCUAUUCAGCUACACAGAGCUCACUCAGGAGACACAUUUAUUCCUCCAACUUAUUUUAAACCCCAUUUAAUGACCUCAUGUUUAAUUUAUUUCCAUUAAUGCUAGUAUUUCGAUAUUGUUCUUUAAUAAAUGUGAUACACUUUUGGAGGUACCACUAAAUUACGCACGCGUACCAGUUUGAGAACCAAUGGCCGAGGGCAAACAGCCAGCUGGGGGGCAACAUUUUUAUAAAAAACAAAGCCUUGUCUUCCUAUAAAGGUUAGAACAAGGUCAAAAGGUCAGUAGAUUUGCAAGUGAACCAAUGAUAAAUGGAAAACUGACAAACAUUAAUGACCAAGAACAGACCAAAUUAAAUGGAUUCCAACACAAAUCGCUGGUUAUUAUUUUGACCCGGGAAGAUUCAAAGAUUCCAAACUCUACGAAUGGACAGAAAUCGAAAUGACAGAAAUAUUUUUCUUACCCCAUUUUAUUGAUCUUUUCACUCAUUUAUAUAUAUUUAUAUAAAGAAAAACGAAAUAGUAAAAAGCUAAUUCAAGUGAAAUCAAAAUGUAUCAAAUGUCACAAUAAAAUGUCAAUUUUAUUUUCCAACCCCAUCAAAGCAGCCGUAUCUACCCCAAUAAAAAACAAACAUCUGGAAGGUACUUAUUUACACGGAAACACACAAGCUACCUUCUGUACAGUGCAUCAAAUGCUUACGGCAGUGCCCGUUCGUCACACACACACACACACACACACACACACACACACACACACACACACACACACACACACACACACACACACACACACACACACACACACACACACACACACACAUUACAAAAGCGAAUGAAAUACGUAAAAAAAAUAGAUUUUUGGGAAAUUUAAAGGUUUGUAGGGGGCCCCUCGGGGCGUUUCAGUCCCGACUCCGCCCCUCGGGGCGUUUGAGUCCCGACUCUGCCCCUCGGGGCGUUUCAGUCCCGACUCCGUCCCUCGGGGCGUUUCAGUCCCGACUCCGCCCCCGGGUCACAUGAAGUCGUUUAGUUCGAGGUCCAAGGCCGCGGCCAUCUCGUCCGCUUCUGAGCUGCUGCCCUCCUCUUCCUCGUCGUCUUCGUUAUCGGCGUCCUGGUCGACGGGUUGGUCUUCCUGUUUGGAGGGCGAGCUGCUGGCCCCGCCCUGCUCAUCCUUACUGUCCUCCUCAUCCUCACCCCGCUCCUCCUCCUGGGCCUCGUCCAGCUUGCGCUUGUGACCCCUGGUAGAGUGAGACAGAGAGAGAGUUAGACAGAGAGAGAGUGAGACAGAGAGAGAGUGAGACAGAGAGAGUGAGACAGAGGAGAUGAGACAGAGCAAGAGCGAGACAGAGAGAGAGCGAGACGGAGGAG